GCCCGAGUGGCGUAGUGGUAGCGCAUCCGACUCGUAAUCGGAAGGUCGUCGGUUCGAAUCCGAUCUCGGGCU
rnacentral:tRNA from 1 species